AUUGAACGCUGGCGGAAUGCUUUACACAUGCAAGUCGAACGGCAGCACGGACUUCGGUCUGGUGGCGAGUGGCGAACGGGUGAGUAAUGUAUCGGAACGUGCCCAGUCGUGGGGGAUAACGUAGUGAAAAUUACGCUAAUACCGCAUACGAUCUAUGGAUGAAAGCGGGGGAUCGCAAGACAUCGCGCGAUUGGAGCGGCCGAUAUCAGAUUAGGUAGUUGGUGGGGUAAAGGCCCACCAAGCCAACGAUCUGUAGCUGGUCUGAGAGGACGACCAGCCACACUGGAACUGAGACACGGUCCAGACUCCUACGGGAGGCAGCUGGGGAAUUUUGGACAAUGGGCGAAAGCCUGAUCCAGCCAUUCCGCGUGCAGGAUGAAGGCCCUCGGGUUGUAAACUGCUUUUGUACAGAACGAAAAGGUUUCUACUAAUACUAGGAGCUCAUGACGGUACUGUAAGAAUAAGCACCGGCUAACUACGUGCCAGCCGCCGCAGUAA
rnacentral:rRNA from 1 species